GAUGAACGCUGACAGAAUGCUUAACACAUGCAAGUCAACUUGAAUUUGGGUUUUUAACUUAGAUUUGGGUGGCGGACGGGUGAGUAACGCGUAAAGAACUUGCCUCACAGCUAGGGACAACAUUUAGAAAUGAAUGCUAAUACCUGAUAUUAUGAUUUUAAGGCAUCUUAGAAUUAUGAAAGCUAUAAGCACUGUGAGAGAGCUUGCGUCCCAUUAGCUAGUUGGAGAGGUAACAGCUCACCAAGGCGAUGAUGGGUAGCCGGCCUGAGAGGGUGAACGGCCACAAGGGGACUGAGACACGGCCCUUACUCCUACGGGAGGCAGCAGUGGGGAAUAUUGGACAAUGGACCGAGAGUCUGAUCCAGCAAUUCUGUGUGCACGAUGAAGUUUUUCGGAAUGUAAAGUGCUUUCAGUUGGGAAGAAAGAAAUGACGGUACCAACAGAAGAAGUGACGGCUAAAUACGUGCCAGCAGCCGCGGUAAUACGUAUGUCACGAGCGUUAUCCGGAUUUAUUGGGCGUAAAGCGCGUCUAGGUGGUUAUGUAAGUCUGAUGUGAAAAUGCAGGGCUCAACUCUGUAUUGCGUUGGAAACUGUAUAACUAGAGUACUGGAGAGGUAAGCGGAACUACAAGUGUAGAGGUGAAAUUCGUAGAUAUUUGUAGGAAUGCCGAUGGGGAAGCCAGCUUACUGGACAGAUACUGACGCUAAAGCGCGAAAGCGUGGGUAGCAAACAGG
rnacentral:rRNA from 1 species